rnacentral:siRNA from 1 species
AGAAGUAAUGAUUAAAUCGGUAGC